rnacentral:rRNA from 1 species
ACGCUAGCUACAGGCUUAACACAUGCAAGUCGAGGGGAAACGAUAUUGGAAGCUUGCUUCCGAUAGGCGUCGACCGGCGCACGGGUGAGUAACGCGUAUCCAACCUGCCCACCACUUGGGGAUAACCUUGCGAAAGUAAGACUAAUACCCAAUGACGUCUCUAGAGGACAUCUGAAAGAGAUUAAAGAUUUAUCGGUGAUGGAUGGGGAUGCGUCUGAUUAGCUUGUUGGCGGGGUAACGGCCCACCAAGGCUACGAUCAGUAGGGGUUCUGAGAGGAAGGUCCCCCACAUUGGAACUGGGACACGGUCCAAACUCCUACGGGAGGCAGCAGUGAGGAAUAUUGGUCAGUGGACGAGAGUCUGAACCAGCCAAGUAGCGUGCAGGAUGACGGCCCUAUGGGUUGUAAACUGCUUUUAUAAGGGAAUAAAGUGAGUCUCGUGAGGCUUUUUGCAUGUACCUUAUGAAUAAGGACCGGCUAAUUCCGUGCCAGCAGCCGCGGUAAUACGGAAGGUCCGGGCGUUAUCCGGAUUUAUUGGGUUUAAAGGGAGCGUAGGCCGGAGAUUAAGCGUGUUGUGAAAUGUAGAUGCUCAACAUCUGCACUGCAGCGCGAACUGGUUUCCUUGAGUACGCACAAAGUGGGCGGAAUUCGUGGUGUAGCGGUGAAAUGCUUAGAUAUCACGAAGAACUCCGAUUGCGAAGGCAGCUCACUGGAGCGCAACUGACGCUGAAGCUCGAAAGUGCGGGUAUCGAACAGGAUUAGAUACCCUGGUAGUCCGCACGGUAAACGAUGGAUGCCCGCUGUUGGUCUGAAUAGGUCAGCGGCCAAGCGAAAGCAUUAAGCAUCCCACCUGGGGAGUACGCCGGC